AUGAACGAGAGGAUGUGCGGUUUGUUGCAGCGUGCGAUCGGACACGAUUGGUUUCGAUGGUCACGCGCCCAACACCGUGAUCCCCUUCAUCAUGCACUUGAACUCCCCAAAGUCGACGCGGCCGUCGCUGUUACGGUCGACGUUGCAAAUCAUCUGGCGCACGGUGGCGAGGCUGCUGCCCUCGGGGAGGCCCAGCUUCUUGAGCACCUCCUGCAGCUCGGUUGCCGAGAUGAAGCCGUCGCCGUCCACGUCGAACACCUUGAACGCCUCCUUCAUCUCCUCCUCGUCCCCGCCCGCGCCGGCCUCGCCGUCCUCGGGCACGUCGUCCAGCGCGCCGAAGAGCGCGUCACCCAGCUCACGGUGGAGGCACUCGAAGUCCUGGAACCGAAGCCCCGCCGCGCCCUCGGGGACGUACGCGCCCACAGUGGAGGCCAGGCCCUCGCGGUCGGCGACGAGCCCGAGCGAAUCCAGCGCCUGCGCCAGCUCGUCGACCGUGAUCUGACCGUCGCCGUUCUUGUCGAACAGGUCGAACACCCGGCGGAGGCGAACCGAGUUGAGGCUGCCGUUACGGAGACGGAACGACGCCGUGGCCGGGGCACCGCCAUCCAACGACGGCUUCACCACCGCCGCGACGCUCUGCCUCGUAUCCAUUGUAUGUUAGAGCUUCCUGCUACCAAUUUUUGGCGACAACUUUUUUCUUAUAUAUGCUGGCCAUCAUAA
rnacentral:rRNA from 1 species